rnacentral:rRNA from 1 species
GACGAACGCUGGCGGCGUGCCUAAUACAUGCAAGUUGAGCGAAGAACCAGGGCUUGCCCUGGGGUAAAGUAGCCAACGGGUGAGUAACUAGUAGGUAACUUACCUCGAUAAACGGCUCAACUAACGGCAACAAGGGCUAAUUAAGGCCGUGCACAAUGGUCAUCCGCUUGGUUCAUAAAGGAAGCACCGGCUUCCGGUCACGGAUAGGUCCGUGGGCCAUUAGUUUGUUGGUUAGGUAACGGAUCACCAAGCCCGCGAUGGGUAGCUGGUCUGAGAGGACGAUCAGCCACACUGGAACUGAGACACGGCCCAGACUCCUACGGGAGGCAGCAGUAGGGAAUCUUGCGCAAUGCGCGAAAGCGUGACGGAGCAACGCCGCGUGGGUGAAGAAGGUCUUCGGGUUGUAAACCCCUUUCAGGAGGGACGAAGGUACGUCUAUGAAUAGCCGUCCGGACUGACGGUACCUCCACAGGAAGCCCCGGCUAACUACGUG